AAAGAUAAUUUCUGUACAGAAAUUUAUUCCUUAAUUUUUGAAUAAAUUUCAGCAAAGUAUUUCUGGAUCGUUGUAUACCGGAUUUUGUGGAAAAUACUGCUGGUGGCUUGUUUGCUGGUUCUGGAGCUCAGAGUUUUGUAAAUGAUGUUGUUUCUGAUUUAAAAACUUGUUCAGAUUUACUCCUUCUAAUGGCAGUUAUAGCAUUAGUGUUAUCCUUGCUGAUGACGAUGGCAUUCAGAUUACUAGCUAAGGUUAUUGUUUACGUGAUCAUUGGUGUGGUUGUUGUUGGAUGUAUUGGUGGAACUGUUCUGCUCUGGGUUCUGUGGUAUCUCAAGGACCAGGAUAUUAAACUACAGGCAGCUGAGGAAUCAAAACCUAACAACCAAUCAGCGAUAAUGAACACUACUGAACAGAUUA